AGCUCCAAUAGCGUAUAUUAAAGUUGUUGCAGUUAAAAAGCUCGUAGUUGGAUUUCUGGUGGGAGCGAUCGGUCCGACACUUAGUGUGGGUACUUGUAUCGUCUCCGGCCAUCCUUGGGUGGAGUCUGUUUGGCAUUAAGUUGUCGAGCAGAGGAUGCCCAUCGUUUACUGUGAAAAAAUUAGAGUGUUCAAAGCAGGCUUAUGCCGUUGAAUAUAUUAGCAUGGAAUAAUAAGAUAGGACCUUGGUACUAUUUUGUUGGUUUGCGCACCGAGGUAAUGAUUAAUAGGGACAGUUGGGGGUAUUCGUAUUCAGUUGUCAGAGGUGAAAUUCUUGGAUUUACGGAAGACGAACUACUGCGAAAGCAUUUACCAAGGAUGUUUUCAUUAAUCAAGAACGAAA
rnacentral:rRNA from 1 species